CUCUGAGAUAUGAGAGAAAAGAAGGAUUUUGUAGCAUCUCCAGGCCUGGGACUAGGAGUGGUCUCAGCUGUGCCUGCAGCCCUUCAGAUGACUGUUGUGAGGUCGCAGAAAGUGUUUUUUAUGCCUCAGUCUUCAUCUGUAUUUGUAAGACGACUGUGUAUCUGUUCUGGGUUAUGCUAAUUAAAUCUAUAACACAAGGCCCGCACGUUACUUGUCUGACUCCUGAGUUCCAGUCGUUUCUACUCCUGUGACACACAGGCUCGGUUCAUACUCCUGAGAAGAGUUUACUGCAGCACUUCAGGAUUUGAGGUUUCUCUGUUGCACUGGAUCCUCAUCCCUAAUGCAGCUAAUACGUGGAAGAAGAACAAGCUUUCCUAUUCCUUGCCUUAAUCCCCUGCGUGGUUGCUUAGGGUGAAUCAUUAACCAAGCACCUAAGUAUGGUGAAGCAAAAAUGUUUGUUGAGUGUCUUUGCAGACAGCAUGGAGUGGAGGCCUUCUGCAGGAGGAAUGGCUCUGCUCUCAUGCAGGAGCUGCAGCACUGCCAUCUGCUCGCUCAACCGCUUCCUCCAGCUCUACACCUCUGCUUAUGCACUGAUGGGCUGAAGCUGCUCCUGCUUUUGGGAUGAGAAAAGGGAACGGUAGAUGUAUCCUGGAGAAAGGAUUUAAGAGAUCUUUCUGUUUGCCUUGGGCUGUGAUUUCCUGUGGGCAAUGAUGGAGGAACAGCACGGUCUAGAUAAACUCUACUUAACUUGCUUAUUGGGAUGGAGGUGGAUUGGCAUUGUCCUUUUUCCAGGAGUCAAGACUGAAGAAUUACAGAAAUACUGCAGUGUUAUCAAGUGGAUCAUUUAAGCAAAUAUGGUAGGAAGGAAAGUAUCAAGGUUACCGACUGGAUUCCUGGAGCAGAUGAGUAGACCUUCAUGGCCAGACAACAGAGCAAGCUGACGAAGUCCAUGUAGCCAACUCUGCAGUCAAAACCAAAGUGCUGGGACUCAGAAGGUCUCGCUUGUUAAUUUGACUGUGUGUAAACAAAGAAAUGCUGUUGGCCCUAUUAAUCUCAGCGCAGGCCUGAGGGAUAAUGGCAGAUGACUCAUGGACCAGACACCAGUGACAACGCAUUACUCCGUGUCUGUUGGCCAAGUGCUACUGACUGAAAUCACUGGCUCUACCUCAAUUCACUGCAGCAAAGUGUCUGGUCUUGCUUGGAUUUGCUUGAGAAAUGACCUUUAUUUUUCUUAUCCACAUUCUCACCUUAUGCAGUCUCCAUGUGUGUGCCAAAGUCACCUCCCCUGCAAGGGUGGACAGAUUUAGAGAUGCUCAAAAUGGCACAGUGAGGGUGUGUGGUUUGCUCUCCUGCUUUUGCUUAACUGGCCAGCAAGUGAACUCGGAGUAAGCAGGUCAGCUCAGGAACAAAGAAGAAGGACCUGAAGAGAUCAAAAUAACACAGGUUCACAGACAUCUCUUAUCUCCAUAAAACUCCUAGAGAGCAUCCAGAGGAGGGCUAAGAAGAUGGUGAAGGUUCUGGAGGAUUCUUUCCAACUCAAGGUAUUCUGUGAUCCUAAAAGAGGGGCAGCAGCCAGCAAGGAUGGAAUCAUCACAAAGGGGAGAAAUUGCACUUAAUGGGAGGCAGCCAGGGUGCUUGGUGCACUUAUCACACUUGCCUGCAUCAUACUGCUUUCUCCUCUGCCUCUGCUUUUCCACAUGAGGACUCUGCUACGUGAAGGCCAAGGUAAGAGGAGGUGACUGCUUUUGAACAAAGAAUGUGUGGUGCUGAGUUUUCCCAAGGAGAUGGGCAAAGCCUAUGGCAUGGAGCAGGAGGAGCUGAGGGCAGUGGAGCUUCUACCCUGUAGAACAGGGAACUCCUGAAGUUGCCAGUCCUACAACAAGUGUUUAGAGGAAGCUGAUUGGGCUGGGGGCUUUCACAAAACACAUGUCCAAACUAGAAGUGUCUGAGAGUGCACCAGCAGUUCGUUGUGAAGCUGACAAAAGCCACAGGCAUGCAGUACUAGGCAGGACAAAGCAGUGCCUGAGGUCUCUGUGUCCAUCACAAGUAGCACUCAUGACACCAUGUUUGACUCGGGAUGCUGUGUUUGCCAAAGCCUUCAGGAGCUUACUGCAUGCUCUACCUGGGGCAGAGAGAGAGGGCAGGCCUUUAUAAAGUGAGCUCAGAGGUGCUUUCAAGUGGGAUGUCCUGCCUCUGGGUGUAUUUUAAGCCAUGUUUGUAAGCAGAAAAACUGUUGCAGCUUUUAGUGGUUUCUGUUAUUUGGUUUCGGCAUUGGUAGUGAGACUUGAGAGCCAAUCCUGAGCUCCCAGAAUCUCUGCUGUGUUGCUCCACAGACUUUACAGAAUGAUGAGCACCAAAACCAGGCUUUGUCACCACAGCAGGAAGGCUUGCAUCUCCUGUACUCACAGCUGCCCCCUGGGCAUGAGAGCAUCUUGGGCAUGGCCUGUCCUCACUGUGUCUCUUGAGCCAUCUUGUUGUUGAGGUGGUUGCAUGAACCAGCUAAACAUCUAAACAUUUCUUAAACGUUUCUUUGUGAUUUUGAUACUUGUGCUCAUCUCCCAUAGAUUCAUGGCUGAAGACAUCACGAAAGAAAACAAACCUCCUCCAAACAGUUGUGCAUGUAUAAAUCACCUACAUAUGUUUCUUGUUCCUUGCUAUGCAUGGGUUUCUUUUUAAUAUAAUUCUUGGCACGACAGAAACCAUGUUGGUGACAUUAUUAGUAUUGUUGGCCUGGAAUGUUUUUAAUAACAUUGAGUUUGUUGGUACAGAGCGUGAAUUAGUUGUCAGUUCUUGAGAAGUCAGAAUGUAAUUGCUGAUCAAACAUUUAAAAUAUGAUUUGUAUUAGCGAUGGUUUUCCCUAUAAAUUCUUUCUUAUGGCCAUUAGGCAGGAAGCCAAAAGCUGACAGUGUGGCAGCUCUGCUCAGCAGUCACAGUUUGGAGCGCAGCUCCAGGCUUCUAUUCCUGACUGAAUUUCUCAUGUUUUUCAGAGGGGUUUUUUUUUUCUUUUUUUUUCUUUUUUUUCUCUUUUGGCAAGAAAAGCUUGAAAAUAAGCUUAGGCCAACCUGAAAUACAUCUUUCUCCCAUUCUGCCUUUCCAGGGCUGCUGUCAGGCUGACAGAUCAGUUACUGCACAGCUCUCUCUAUUACUCUCUAUAGAAAUAAAUCUGCGUUUCCUCCCAGACUGUUCUCCAUCACCCUGCCUUCUUUCAUAGCCAUCACAAAAUGGGUGUGGAAGCAAAGUACUUUUUGCAGACACCUCUACAAAAUGUGGACUUCACCUGUGAAACCAUAGAAUUAGUGAGAGUAAGCCAAAGCAGAAGGUUUGUUUUUUUUUUUAAACUGAGUUCAGCUCCAAGUAUAAUGUUUUAACAGAUUAAUCUACCCUUCCUUCCUGUUGGUGUUGAGAUUAUCAUUCCAUGAGUAUUGUUCCUCCCUUCCUCCGACCUGCACAUGCUUCUUUUGACAACAUAGUGUGCAGACAAAUUAUUCACGCUCCACUGAAGUGCUGUUCAUCUAAUAGAUAGAAAAUUCUUGUCAGAGAAAGGGGAGGAGAAAGAGACUUCUAUGGGAAGAAACACCAGUGCUACACAGGAGCCCGCUAAUGAUGGGGAGCAAAGAACAGUGACGCUUCCCAUUGCUUCAGCACCCCAGUGACAGAACUUUCCUUCUACAACUGUUGGGAGGGAAAAUGCUAUUCCGGUAUUAAUGCUGUCAGAUUAUCUCAGCAUAGUUCAGGGUAGGUAUUUUCAGGACAGCAGACCAAACGGGUCAUUUGGCUAUACUUUCUAUGGCAGAUCAAAGCUUCAUCACUCUCCUUGUUCAGUAUCUUCUGGUUACUCUUAAAAUGUGAAGCUCGUUUGUUCCAGUAGCUGACAAAGGAGCCUGGCUUCUUGGCCCAUAAACUUCCACCUCUGUGCUGAACUCCUCAGCAGGUUCCCAGAAGGCAUGUACCACAGCUGGUUGAACCUGCAUGACCAACUGAACUCUUCAGAGCAAAUUCCUUUCUCCUUUUGCUGGCUACAUAUUUCUCUGAGCUCAUUUCUUUGCUUACCCUGUCAUCAUCUGGAGUUUGCCUUCAAGAUAAUACCAUCAGUUAAUGUUUGCAUAAUGUUUGAAAAGUCUGAAGUACCAAUUCAGAAAAUUCAUUGCAUUUUUUCUUUGUGUUCCUCCUGACACUCUUUCCCAAUCCAGGCAUGCCAGUUUCCCUCUGAAGCCUGUUGUCUUGCGUCCCAACAACUGGUACCUGUUCUCAGCUUCAUCC
ensembl:lncRNA